rnacentral:rRNA from 1 species
GACGAACGCUGGCGGCGUGCUUAACACAUGCAAGUCGAACGGAAAGGCCUGCUUUCCCUUGUGGAUUGCGGGUACUCGAGUGGCGAACGGGUGAGUAACACGUGAGUGAUCUGCCCCCAACUUGGGUAUAAGCCUGGGAAACUGGGUCUAAUUCCCGAUAGGACUGCAGGGUGGUGCCUGUGGUGGAAAACGAUUUUCUAGUGGUUGGGGAUGAGCUCGCGGCCUAUCAGCUUGUUGGUGGGGUAAUGGCCUACCAAGGCGGCGACGGGUAGCCGGCCUGAGAGGGUGGACGGCCACAUUGGGACUGAGAUGCGGCCCAGACUCCUACGGGAGGCAGCAGUGGGGAAUAGUGCACAAUGGGCGGAAGCCUGAUGCAGCGACGCCGCGUGGGGGAUGACGGCCUUCGGGUGGUAAACUCCUUUCGACCGCGAGGAAGCCACCUGGUUGGAAGGGUGGUGACGGUAGUGGUAGAAGAAGCACCGGCUAACUACGUG